rnacentral:lncRNA from 1 species
AAGCAGUGAAUAGAAUGGGAAAAACAGGGUUACUGUGAAAAUCCUUCUGUCUUACCGUUUGGCAUAGGUUAAAGACAGCCCUAUGGGAGCUAGACUAUCCAUCUCAUCAUGUUCCUGCCUAUCACUGGCCUGCCUUCCAGCUGACAGCAACAAGGAGUUACCUCCCGGUGAAAAGUACUUUGGUUGACUAUGAGAAACAGAAGGAGGAGUGGCUGUGGUUUCUUUCUAUACCUGCAGGUGGUCAAUCAUUAUCAAACCAAGCCACAAAUUCAAUUAAUCUGUUGUGAUGCCAAAACCUGUGGUCCUGGCAAAAUGUAUCAUGCAGCAUAUCUAGGAUUAAAUCUAAGCCCAUUGCUUAGCACUGAGAUGAGACAGAGGCUGGAGGUGUGUAGGCAAUGACUGGCAGUCUCCCUUUCCGGCCCAAGAGACCUGUGGUGUUUCAGAGUGGAAGCUGUAGGUCGGUAAGUCUCCCUCAGUUUUCUGUCCUUAGACUUAAAGUGAAAGUAAACAAACCUUGGUGACUUCGCAUUUAGAUAGUGCUGAAAUUUUACCAGUGUGUUAUUCCUCUGACUAGAAUCCCC